rnacentral:rRNA from 1 species
GACGAACGCUGGCGGCGUGCUUAACACAUGCAAGUCGAACGGAAAGGCCCUGCUUUUGUGGGGUGCUCGAGUGGCGAACGGGUGAGUAACACGUGAGUAACCUGCCCUUGACUUUGGGAUAACUUCAGGAAACUGGGGCUAAUACCGGAUAGGAGCUCCUGCUGCAUGGUGGGGGUUGGAAAGUUUCGGCGGUUGGGGAUGGACUCGCGGCUUAUCAGCUUGUUGGUGGGGUAGUGGCUUACCAAGGCCUUGACGGGUAGCCGGCCUGAGAGGGUGACCGGCCACAUUGGGACUGAGAUACGGCCCAGACUCCUACGGGAGGCAGCAGUGGGGAAUAUUGCACAAUGGGCGGAAGCCUGAUGCAGCAACGCCGCGUGCGGGAUGACGGCCUUCGGGUUGUAAACCGCUUUCGCCUGUGACGAAGCGUGAGUGGCGGUAAUGGGUAAAGAAGCACCGGCUAACUACGUG